AGUCCGCUAAGUCCGUAAGGAAAUAAACAAUGAGUAAUUGCAAUAAUUAAAAAAAAGUUAAAAAUGUCCUAUAAACAAUAAAUUAAUUUUAAAUUAACCAGCUGGUCGCUGUUAGAAGAGGAUCUUCAACUUUUAUUGGCAAAAAACAAUGUUAUGGCGGAAAAAGAAGAAGCAGAUGAUGAUAUUAAAAUAGAUUUGAUUAAUACUGUAAAAAUCAAUGUAACAAAAGAUUUCAAAAGAAAGAAAAAAGAUGAUAAAAAGCGUGUAUCGAUGUCCGAUUUUAAUACCGAUAACAUCGGGGUUGAUUCCGAAUUUAAUCGCCGCAGAUCAAAAUCAGCUCCUAUAUCACUUGAAGCAGCAAGCGUGGCUACUGAGUUAAAACGCUUGAGUGACUCUCUUCAUACCAUGUAUUCAUCCUUUAAUAAAAAAUCGAGAAGGAAGAAUCUUAGUCUAAGUGAAUCUACCCCAAAAAGAGAAAGCUUUCAUUUCGAUUACGAUAAGUACCCAGAAGUUAUAAACGAAACUAAAA
rnacentral:lncRNA from 1 species